CCAGCCCUUAAAAGACGCGAUUAAUUGUCAUAGCAACCAGGGCAUGGAACCACACGCACUUGGGCUGGGAUACAGGGACAGCAGUGUGCCCUCUUACCCACACACGCAUCUCAAAAGGGACAUCACCAUCACCGAGUUUGUAAAAACAGCCAAUGUGGUUGUACCACAGCACACCUGCAAGCUAGUUUAUUGUCUAUCUCUGCCUGCCUAAGAUCAGAGUCAUGGCCAUCAGGAGACACCAAAACAGCAAGAAGCAGGUCCUUCCCUACAUGGUAAUUUAUUUUUAUGACACAGAAGCAUACUUGAACACAGACAGACAAAGAGAGAAGAAGUUGUUGUGAACUGAUACAUUGGAACUGUGCAGCACCUCUAUACAACAGUACUGCAAGUGAAAAUACAACAGCUAGGAGGAUACAGGAUCAAUUUGGGAAGCAGGACUAACAGAGAAAUGCUUCCAGAAAGCAAUCUGUCAGUACAAUCUCCUGACCAUUCCUAAGGUGGCCAGACUGGUGGGUAUUUUGCUCUUAAAGAAUUAUUUUGGUAACUGAUGUUACAGGAUUGCAGAUCAGAGGCACAGUUUUGGGAAAGCUUGUGCAUGGCUGCUGGCUCCAGAAAGAAAGAGGUCAGGAAAUGGCAAUAAGCCUCCAAGAUCACAUCAGCCAGAUAAAAACAGCAAUUCACACUGGACUAUAGGAGAAUACUAUAGUACAUCACAUGCUGUCAUGGAAAGAGAGAUAAUCCAGUUCAGUGGCCACCAAUUUUGGCCACCGCUGAUUGGGCUAUUUUUCUAGUCAGCCACUGCAAAGAAGUUACUGCACACCUUGGCAGGGAGGCAGAAGUGAGUCACG